GAAGCUAUAAAAUUAACUGGAGAUUCGUAUGUAACUGCUGGACAGGUAAUUUCAUGUAUAUAAGAAUUUAACAUUUUUCUGUGAAAGCUGGAGAGGGUUUUUGUGUGUUAUUUUAGUGAUUCGUCUUUCUGUUUAGCAAUGUGGAGUGUGUGUUGUAUUAGUUUUUUCUGAUGCUCGCUAUUUUUGGCUAUAUAAAUUUUACAACUUCAUGUCAUGCACUUGAUUUUGUUAAUCCAUGCUCCAGUGC
rnacentral:misc_RNA from 1 species